GGAUGGUUACUCUAAUUGGCUAAGAGACUGGUCUUGAAAACCAGCGUAGCGUAAGCGAUCGGGGUUCGAAUCCCUGACCAUCCGCCA
rnacentral:tRNA from 1 species